rnacentral:rRNA from 1 species
CGCGCGUGCGGGAUGAAGGCCUUCGGGUUGUAAACCGCUUUCAGCAGGGAAGAAGCGAAAGUGACGGUACUUGCAGAAGAAGCACCGGCUAACUAUGUGCCAGCAGCCGCGGUAAUACAUAGGGUGCAAGCGUUGUCCGGAAUUAUUGGGCGUAAAGAGCUCGUAGGUGGUUCGUCACGUCGGAUGUGAAAAUCUGGGGCUUAACCCCAGACCUGCAUUCGAUACGGGCGAGCUAGAGUGUGGUAGGGGAGACUGGAAUUCCUGGUGUAGCGGUGGAAUGCGCAGAUAUCAGGAGGAACACCAAUGGCGAAGGCAGGUCUCUGGGCCAUUACUGACACUGAGGAGCGAAAGCGUGGGGAGCGAACAGGAUUAGAUACCCUGGUAGUCCACGCCGUAAACGGUGGGCACUAGUUGUGGGAACCUUCCACGGUUUCUGCGACGC